UCUCUCACAUGAACCUUCUCUUCGUCUUCUCUUGGUCGCCCUCUAUCGUUUUCGUCGGUUUGCACCCCACCGUUUACCUAGUCGUCAACAUUUAGAUUCACCAUCGUUCUCCCUUCGUCGGUGUUCGUGCAAUCAAUGCCUAUCGCGCGAGGUCGUUCUAUUUCGCGUUUCUUCCAGUUGUCGUUGCGCCCAAACUCGCACCUUUCAUUUUUAUCAAAUUUAGUUUUCGUUCCUCCAAGCCCCACCCACCCUCAUUCGAUCCUCUCUUCCAAUCAAUCUCUCCCCACAUUCACUCUUCGAUGAUUUCAUUCCGCACAAGGUUUUCGUUCGUGUCGAAGCCGGUUGCCUAUAAAUGAAGCGUAAUGGUGUGUUUCAAGCGAAUGGUACGUUUUUGAAAUUUCAGCACUCAUAAUAUCUUCCUCUUUUUUAAAGCUACAACCGAAUAACACUGUCGUUUGUCGGGGUAUGGAUAGUAUCGGAGAUCACUACUUGAAUUCCUUAGGGACCGACAUUUUCAUUGGAGAAGACCUAGACUGGUCUUUACCAUUUCUCUAUUUCUCUGUUUCUCUCUCUUUUGAAAAUGUUGAUGAUGUGUGUUAUGUAAUGAGAGAUGUAGAGAUUUUUUCUUUUUUUUUCUUUAACUGGAAUUUGACGUUGGUGUGCUUUUGUUGAAGACAAUUGAGGAUUCAAAAAGCCGCUUUCUGGUUAUUAUGAUUCCAGUUCGCCGGAUGGAUCAGCUGCUUCAAACAAUAUAAUAUAGAAAAGGAAUAGAAGGAGGAAGGUUAACGAUGGGGGAAAGCUCUCUUAAUUGAUAAUUUUUGUUUCUAAUUUGAUUUAACUCAAUUUGCAGAACUACUUACAAAGGGUGAUGAGGUAGCAGUAAAGUUUCACUCUUAUGAUAAUUUUUUUUUUGUUUAUAAGAAGUAGCGAGGAAGUGUGUUUUAAGAAUGAAAUGUCUGAAAAUGAAGGUUGUUCAUCCGUUGUAUUUUUUUUGCGCACAUGUUUCAACAUUUCAUCAGUUACUGCUUGGUUAUAUAAUUAUGAUCUUAUUGUUUCAAGGUUAUUGUGGAGAAGGCAGAGAGAAGUGACAUCCCUAGCAUUGAUAAGAAGAAGGUUGAUUUUCAUUCUUAUGAAUCAAUUUAAUACAAGAGUGCGAAUGGAGGUUGCUGGUCAUGGAUUUAUCCCAAAUACCAUGAACGAGAUGAAUGAACAAGAGGCUGCUUUGCCAUGCGCUCAAACAAAGUAAAAAGCAGAAGCCAUAGGUAUAUAAGGUUAUGGAAAUGAAGACAUUGAUUUUACAGCAUUUGUAAAUUCCCUUUCAGUUUCUCAACGAAAAUGCUUCCUUUUUUUGUUUUUGUUUGUCUUUUUUUGGUUCUUUAAUAUAUAUGUAUGCCCUGUGCCCUCCAAGGUUUCUCUUCUUUAAGCUAAUUGAUAGAAUGAAUCUCCUUUUUCAACUAAUAUUUUAUUUUGUAUUUUUUUCCUUUAUCAUUUUGAUGGCUAAGAACUGUUCUGAUGCUUUGUUUACAAAAGUGGUUCGAUCCAAUCAAGCUAUGCCUUUAGAUUCAAAUUUUACUUAUUUUUGGUGCAACCAAUGUGAUGCUGAGAAUUUUAAAGGCCAAAAUUUGAUUACUUUUGUUAAUAAUAUUGCUAAAAUAGCAUUAUGAAUCGAUGAAUCUUCGACCUUUAAAAGCAUUACUAAUUUCUUAAUAAGAAUGUCCAGUUGAGGUCUAUGAUUAGCAUCUUUUUUAUCCUAAUUAUUCUAAAAGAAACUACACCUGAAAAGAGUACAGAAACUAGUUUAUCAUCUAAAUUAAUUUUUGAACUUGGAAAUUUAUUCCAUCUAAGUUUUUAACUUUUCAUAGUAGGAUACUUUAAUGUCCAGAAGGUGUCCAUGUCUUGGAGCUAUAUCCUAAAGAAGUAAAGUAUAAAAGUUUUAGAAAAGAUGUCAACACUCAACAUACCUUAACUUGUGAUAAAGCAUUCUCGAUCCAAAAUAAGGUCGUUGAUAAUGUAAGUACUUUCCAUAUUGUUAAAUUUUUUGUAUUACACUUUCUUAUGAUUAUUGAAUAUAUGUGGCCCUAUCUUGAUAAGGUUUAUCUGUUUCAUCAGCAAUAUCCAUUCUUAAGUCAUUCUAUCAACUUUUUUGUUGGUUAACUAUGUUAACUCCGCCUGUCAUGCUGCAUCUGUUCAGAAUUUUUUUUUGUUUUUUUCUUGACACAGGCAAUAUGCAAAACAACAAGAAAUAUUACCUAACCUAUAAUUGCAGAGCAAAUUCCCAAAUUUAAGAUUGAUUCUGUUGAAUUUGAAGCACUCACACUGGGGUCCUUGCCGCCAACAUUUCAAGAAUUACAAAAGAAAUGCAUAUACAAAAGUAGACUUGCAAUGCACGAAUGCAUAUACAAAAGAGUUUGAGAGUUGCUUCCCUUCUGAUGCAAAUAUCAAUAAUGUUGCGAAGAUUGGCUCUACUGUUGGUAGUACUUAUUUUAGCUCAUGAAUUGGAGGUAGUAGAGGAUGCAGAAUUCAAGUUUAUUUGAAGCCAAGUUUCAUUCAAGGUC